AUUGAACGCUGGCGGCAUGCCUUACACAUGCAAGUCGAACGGUAACGCGGGGCAACCUGGCGACGAGUGGCGAACGGGUGAGUAAUGUAUCGGAACGUGCCCAGUUGUGGGGGAUAACUGCUCGAAAGAGCAGCUAAUACCGCAUACGACCUGAGGGUGAAAGCGGGGGAUCGCAAGACCUCGCGCAAUUGGAGCGGCCGAUAUCAGAUUAGGUAGUUGGUGGGGUAAAGGCCUACCAAGCCUAUGAUCUGUAGCUGGUCUGAGAGGACGACCAGCCAUACUGGGACUGGGACACGGCCCAGACUCCUACGGGAGGCAGCAGGGGGGAAUUUUGGACAAUGGGGGAAACCCUGAUCCAGCCAUGCCGCGUGCGGGAAGAAGGCCUUCGGGUUGUAAACCGCUUUUGUCAGGGAAGAAAUCCUUUGAACUAAUACUUCGGAGGGAUGACGGUACCUGAAGAAUAAGCACCGGCUAACUACGUGCCAGCAGCCGCCGUAA
rnacentral:rRNA from 1 species